GGACUCACAGGGCUUCUGACCUCGCUUGUAAAGAAAAUGGAAAAAGAUUUAGGGAGAGAGCGCGCAGGGUGCUAGGGGAAGCAGCUCGCUGUGCAGCUGCUCUGGAUGCCUUUGGAUUACAUCAGAGUGGCUGAGAAAACAAGAGGCAGCGAGAGGGAGAGAGGAGCUCGGGUAAACCCGUCGCAGUGACACUUCCAGGGUGGCCUUCACCAAGUCAGUCACUACAGAAGAACACUGCUGACCAUGUUCUCAGGGGCUCUGAUGGUGUUGCUGGUGGUCCUCAUCAUGUGCAGGAGGGUCAUAUGGCACGGGAUCUGCCUGCUGAUUGGUCGGAUGUUGUUUAACGAGCCUGUGAGGGAUAAACAAAGAACUAAUAAAGUUUUGUGAGACCAA